rnacentral:rRNA from 1 species
AGUGAACGCUGGCGGUAUGCCUAACACAUGCAAGUCGAACGGCAGCACAGUAAUAGCUUGCUCUUACGGGUGGCGAGUGGCGGACGGGUGAGGAAUACAUCGGAAUCUACUUUUUCGUGGGGGAUAACGUAGGGAAACUUACGCUAAUACCGCAUACGACCUACGGGUGAAAGCAGGGGAUCUUCGGACCUUGCGCGAUUGAAUGAGCCGAUGUCGGAUUAGCUAGUUGGCGGGGUAAAGGCCCACCAAGGCGACGAUCCGUAGCUGGUCUGAGAGGAUGAUCAGCCACACUGGAACUGAGACACGGUCCAGACUCCUACGGGAGGCAGCAGUGGGGAAUAUUGGACAAUGGGCGCAAGCCUGAUCCAGCCAUACCGCGUGGGUGAAGAAGGCCUUCGGGUUGUAAAGCCCUUUUGUUGGGAAAGAAAAGCAGAAGGUUAAUACCCCGCUGUUAUGACGGUACCCAAAGAAUAAGCACCGGCUAACUUCGUG